rnacentral:rRNA from 1 species
UACGGAGGGUGCGAGCGUUGUCCGGAAUCACUGGGCGUAAAGGGCGCGUAGGCGGCCUGAUAAGUAGGGGGUGAAAUCCUGCGGCUUAACCGCAGGGCUGCCUUCUAAACUGUCAGGCUAGAGCACAGUAGAGGCAGGUGGAAUUCCCGGUGUAGCGGUGGAAUGCGUAGAGAUCGGGAAGAACAUCAGUGGCGAAGGCGGCCUGCUGGGCUGUUGCUGGACGCUGAGGCGCGAC